AGUGAACGCUGGCGGUAGGCCUAACACAUGCAAGUCGAACGGCAGCACAGUAAGAGCUUGCUCUUACGGGUGGCGAGUGGCGGACGGGUGAGGAAUACAUCGGAAUCUACUUUUUCGUGGGGGCUAACGUAGGGAAACUUACGCUAAUACCGCAUACGACCUCCGGGUGAAAGCAGGGGAUCUUCGGACCUUGCGCGAUUGAAUGAGCCGAUGUCGGAUUAGCUAGUUGGCGGGGUAAAGGCCCACCAAGGCGACGAUCCGUAGCUGGUCUGAGAGGAUGAUCAGCCACACUGGAACUGAGACACGCUCCAGACUCCUACGGGAGGCAGCAGUGGGGAAUAUUGGACAAUGGGCGCAAGCCUGAUCCAGCCAUACCGCGUGGGUGAAGAAGGCCUUCGGGUUGUAAAACCCUUUUGUUGGGAAAGAAAAGCAGCAGGUUAAUACCCCGCUGUUCUGACGGUACCCAAAGAAUAAGCACCGGCUAACUUCGUG
rnacentral:rRNA from 1 species